rnacentral:rRNA from 1 species
CCUACGGGUGGCUGCAGUGAGGAAUAUUGGUCAAUGGACGAGAGUCUGAACCAGCCAAGUAGCGUGAAGGAUGACUGCCCUAUGGGUUGUAAACUUCUUUUAUAUGGGAAUAAAAUGUUCCACGUGUGGGAUUUUGUAUGUACCAUAUGAAUAAGGAUUGGCUAACUCCGUGCCAGCAGCCGCGGUAAUACGGAGGAUCCGAGCGUUAUCCGGAUUUAUUGGGUUUAAAGGGAGCGUAGGUGGAUUGUUAAGUCAGUUGUGAAAGUUUGCGGCUCAACCCCAUCCAGCCGUUGAAACUGGGGAUCUAGAGUGUGCGAGAGGUAUGCGGAAUGCGUGGUGUAGCGGUGAAAUGCAUAGAUAUCACGCAGAACCCCGAUUGCGAAGGCAGCAUACCGGUGCACAACUGACGCUCAGGCACGAAAGCGUGGGUAUCGAACAGGAUUAGAUACCCUGGUAGUC